ACCAGGGUGGCUCAGUGGGUUGAGCGCCUGACUUCGGCUCAGGUCAUGAUCUCACGAUUUGUGAGUUCAAGCCCCGCACGGGGUU
rnacentral:tRNA from 1 species